GCGGGUUUUGUUUUCGCUUCGGUCCCUCACAAUAUUUUUACCCGAAGGAGAGAGUGAGGAGGCCAUCGUAGCGGAAUAAACGAGACAUUUGUUAAGAAGACAAAACUGGAUUAUCCUUGUGAAAGAGAAGAUUCAGUGAUGGAGCCUGUCCAUAUUAAAGAGGAGAGUCCUGUACUAGAAUCAGUCCAUAUUAAAGAGGAGAGACCUGUACUAGAAUCAGUCCAUAUUAAAGAGGAGAGUCCUGAACUAGAAUCAGUCCAUAUUAAAGAGGAGAGUCCUGUACUAGAAUCAGUCCAUAUUAAAGAGGAGAGUCCUGUACUAGAAUCAGUCCAUAUUAAAGAGGAGAGUCCUGUACUAGAAUCAGUCCAUAUUAAAGAGGAGAGUCCUGUACUAGAAUCAGUCCCUAUUAAAGAGGAGAGUCCUGUACUAGAAUCAGUCCAUAUUAAAGAGGAGAGUCCUGAACUAGAAUCAGUCCAUAUUAAAGAGGAGAGUCCUGUACUAGAAUCAGUCCAUAUUAAAGAGGAGAGUUCUGUACUAGAAUCAGUCCAUAUUAAAGAGGAGAGUCCUGCACUAGAAUCAGUCCAUAUUAAAGAGGAGAGUCCUGUACUAGAAUCAGUCCAUAUUAAAGAGGAGAGUUCUGUACUAGAAUCAGUCCAUAUUAAAGAGGAGAGUUCUGUACUAGAAUCAGUCCAUAUUAAAGAGGAGAGUCCUGCACUAGAAUCAGUCCAUAUUAAAAGGGUUAUUCUCAAUUCUAAUCUCUUAAGCAGCUUGCAGGGCUCUCUGUCCUGUACAGAAUGUGGAAAAAGUUUCAGUCAGUUACGAAACCUGAAACUUCACCAGCGAAUCCACACUGGAGAGAAACGAUAUGUCUGUGCUGACUGUGGGAAGAGUUUCAGUCAGUCAGGCAACUUGAAAAUGCACCAGCGAAUCCACACAGGAGAGAAACCAUAUGUCUGUGCUGACUGUGGGAAGAGUUUCAGGCAGUCAAGCAACUUGAAAAUGCACCAGCGAAUCCACACAGGAGAGAAACCAUAUGUCUGUGCUGACUGUGGGAAGAGUUUCAGGAGAUUAGGAGAUCUUAAAAUCCACCAAGUAAUUCACACAGGAGAGAAGGCACAUGUCUGUGCUGACUGUGGGAAGAGUUUCAGGAGACUAAGAGAUCUUAAAAGCCACCAGCAAAUCCACACAGGAGAGAAACGACAUGUGUGUGCUGAGUGUGGGAAGAGUUUUAGUGAGUCAUGCAACUUGAAAACACACCAUCGAAUCCACACAGGAGAUAAACCGUACCUGUGUAGUAAAUGUGGGAAAAGUUUCAAUCAGUUAGCCCAUCUUCUAAAGCACCACUUAAUCCACACAGGAGAGAAGCCAUAUCACUGUCCUGACUGUGGGAAGAGCUUUGGUCAGUCAGGCUAUUUGAAAAAACACCAGCGAAUUCACACUUGAGAGAAACCGUAUGUCUGCGUUAACUGUGGGAAGCAUUUCACAAAAUCUGAAAUUUCACCAGCGAAUUCACCCAGGAGCGAAUCCACAUCACUGUAAAGACUGGGAAGAGUUUGAGAUGGACAUACAGCUUGAAAAGGCACCAGUGACUCCACACAGCAGAUAAACAUUAUGCACUCACUGUGGGAUGUCUUGUACAUCUUCCUGUUCUAUUAAAAGACGCAAUUGCAAGUUGUGAAAGUUUAAGAACAUAAGAAAGUUUACAAACGAGAGGAGGCCAUUCAGCCCAUCUCAUAGUAGCUUAUUGAUCCCAGAAUCUCAUCAAGCAGCUUCUUGAAGGAUCCCAGGGUGUCAGCUUUAACAACAUUACUGGGGAGUUGGUUCCAGACCCUCACAAUUCUCUGUGUAAAAAAAAACCCCUCCUAUUUUCUGUUCUGAAUUCCCCUUUAUCUAAUGUCCAUUUGUGACCCCUGGUCCUUGUUUCUUUUUUCGGGUCAAAAAAGUCCCCUGGGUCGACAUUGUCAAUACCUUUUAGAUUUAUAUACAAAAGUUAUAGAAUUCAGUAUAACCACGAAUAGCAAAACAACAACAACAACAACAACAAAAAGUCUAUAGAAACAAAUUAUAUGGUGAUCAUGAGAGGAGAGAGAGAGGGGAGAGGAGAGGGGAGAGAGAGGAGAGAGAGAGGAGAGGAGAGAGAGGAGAGGGGAGAGGAGAGAGAGGAGAGAGGAGAGAGAGAGGAGAGGAGAGGGGAGAGAGAGGGGAGAUAAUGGGGUGAUGAUGUGGCCAACACUGUAAGCAAGCAAACAAACAAAUAAAUUAUUAAAUAUGUAAAACUGAUGUACUGUCAAGUACAAGUGUGCUCUCGAUCUUGUCCUCUUCCACUUCAACAUACUUGCUGGGUGUUAGUUCAGAAGACAAUACUGGAUGUUCCUUGUGAAAGAGAAGAUUCAACGAUGGAGCCUGUCCAUAUUAAAGAGGAGAGUCCUGUACUAGAAUCAGUCCAUAUUAAAGAGGAGAGUCCUGUACUAGAAUCAGUCCAUAUUAAAGAGGAGAGUCCUGUACUGGAAUCAGUCCAUAUUAAAAAGGUUAUUCUCAAUUCUAAACCCUUAAGCAGCUUGCAGGGCUCUCUUCCCUGUCCUGGAUGUGGGGAGAGUUUUAAUCCUGAAGGAAACCUUGAAACAUCUCCUGGAAAGACUCUGCAUCGCUGUGCUGGAUGUGUGAAGACUUUCAGGGAGUCAGGAAUCCUGAACGGACAGCAGCAAACAGGCACUGGAAAGACUCCAUAUAGCUGUCAUGAAUGCGGGGCAGAUUUCAGACCCCACAGCACCGUGAAACACCACCUGCGAGUUCUGAAGGUACAGCUGGGUUAUCCUUGUGAAAGCGAGGAUUCAGAGAUGGAGCCUGUCCACAUUAAAGAGGAGCUUCCUGAACUAGACCCUGUCCAUGUUAAAGAGGAGGGUAACCAUUUUAAAACAAGCAGCUUGCAGGGCUCUCUGUCCUGUACAGAAUGUGGAAAGAGUUUCAGACAGUUAAAAAACCUGAAACUUCACCAGUUAAUCCACACGGGAGAGAAACGACAUGUCUGUGCUGACUGUGGGAAGAGUUUCAGUCAGUUAGGCAACUUGAAAAGACACCAGCAAAUUCACACAGGCGAUAAACUGUAUCUGUGUAGUAAAUGUGGGAAAAGUUUCAAUCAGUUAGCACAUCUUAAAAACCACAAGCGAAUUCACAUAGGAGAUAAACGACAUGUCUGUGCUGAUUGUGGGAAGAGUUUCAGUGAUUCAAGCAACUUGAAAAGACACCAGCGAAUUCACACAGGGCAUAAACCAUAUCUGUGUAGUAAAUGUGGGAACAGUUUCAAUCAGUUAGCACAUCUUAAAAAGCACCAGUUAAUCCACACAGGAGAGAAGCCAUAUCACUGUGCUGACUGUGGGAAGAGCUUCAGACAGUCAACCUGUUUGAAAAAACACCAGCGAAUUCACACUGGAGAGAAACCGUAUGACUGUGAUGACUGUGGGAAGAGUUUCAGAGAUUUCCAAAACCUGAAAUCUCACCAGCGAAUCCACACUGGAGAGAAACCACAUGUCUGUGCUGACUGUGGGAAGAGUUUCAGUCAGUUAAGAAAUUUGAAAUACCACCAGUUAAUUCACACAGGAGAGAAUUUACAUCACUGUAAUGACUGUGGGAAGAGUUUCGGAUGGUUAUACAGCUUGAAAAGGCAUCAGCUAUGCCACUCAGCAGAGAAACCUCGUCACUGCUCUCACUGUGGGAAGUCUUUUAUGGCCUCCGGUUCUCUUAAAAGACACAAAUGCAAGUUGUGAAAGUUUAGGCAGAAUGUGAGUGUGUGUUCAUUCACCCGCACUCAGAAAUUCCAGUCUUUUUCAACAGCAGCUUAAUAUAAAAACUGUGAGAACUCUGGUGAAUGUCUACAGAUGAUACAGAUUCAUCAAUAUUAAACACAGUGCUCUGAAGCCGUUACAUUAUAAAGUACAUUCUUAGUUUGCAAUCCGUCGAAUAUACAGACCCCUCGGAGUGUUGUGUGAUACGAGGUGAAGCCGAGUGCCUCCAACCCCUGAGAAGUCUGUAUAUUCAACGCAUACGCCGUGGGAGAAAUUCAUAGUUGUAAUUGAAUGUACUUUGUAAAAAUGACAUUUCAAAUCUUAAACUAUGAGGCUUAAGAUGCUGUGAUGUUAAUUAAGUGUGUCUUCCCCCAGCCUUCUCCCAUAACAUUUGAGAUCUGCUUCAAAGGACUGGAUAUUAGUAACAGAGAGUUGUAAAGAUUUAAAUUGGUUUUAGUUUAGAUUACCUGCUGUUUCUUCAUGGCUGACUAAUCUGUUAAUUAAGAAUGCCUGUUUGAAAGCCAAUGUACAAUGUUCUUCCUAUAAAGGGUUGAGAAGUGCGACACCUGGUGGAUACGAGGUGCCAUGACUUUCAAUCCAUAAAAUGAAUUGUUACCAUGAAACAUGGAAUGUUUAAGUGAAUAGAAAUUCCUAAUCUCUGUAUUCUAAAAGUUAAUUGAUAAACAGACCUUCACGAGGGUGUAAUAUUAACUUGUGGAACAAUCUCAGGGUUUUAGAUUUACUGAAACUAUCAGAUUGAAACGUAACAAAUAAGUAAAAACCUAACUGAUUUAAACUGGUUUUAGAAGCAUUUUAACAAAUCUUGCAGAUGCAAGUUUAAAUAUAUUUUCCUAAUAUAUUGAAAUGUUGAUGCAGUUUAAAGUGUGUUUUAAUGAAGUUAAAGUGUAAAAAAAUAUUAGUUUUACUUUAAUUAUUUUAUAAUGUGUUUAAUAUGCUUGUAACGGUAAUUUAGUUCAGAGAAUGAAACUGACAUGUUUAUCCUUCUGUGAUCAAUAUAACUAGCUAGCACAAAAUGAAGUUUUGUUCUGUAGAUGUUUCGAAUCUUGUUAUCUCUCUUUCUCUCUCCAUGGAGGAGGGUGACUCACUGUAUUAAUGACGCACAUUGCUUGUGUAAAAGGAAGCGUCAUUCAAACUUUGUAAGCCAAUGAAAGGGCUGAUUUCGGUCAGGGAUUAGCUUCCUGUUUUACCAGGAAGUGAUUGAAUCACCAAAGUAAACUCCUCUUUAAUCUUGAACUCUUGGAUUUGGACUCAUCCUGAAGAAGACUCCUCGCCGCUACAUCCUGCAACUCUACAUGUUACAAAGAAGACCACUGCAUUCCAACAAGGACCACAUCUCCAGAAUAAGUAUUAUGUUUCAAAGACUUUAAAAUUCAAGUAAAAUACGCUAAGAUUAAAAAUACAAACAAUUCUACUCUGAACAAUUGAAAUAAGAUAAGACUUUAACUAAACUGAUGCUAUUGUGUGCAUUUGAAAACAAUGUGAAUGUCUGAACCAUUUAAACAUUGAUUGAGUUUAUCUACAAGUUCUGAAGUAACUCUAGGUUGCAACUUCAUACUAAAUGCAAUUGAAGCUGCUUCCCAACUGAACUUGUUGAAACAAAAAUGCCGUCUUCAUUUGAACCCACACAACAGACGCUGCUUCACCCCGUCACUGUGUGUAAUGUGCGUGAAUCCUGCGUGUACGGAAACACACUGAAGACAGCGUGCUCAUGAAAACAUGUGUUUCAAUGUUUUAUUCCUGCUUGUGUGUAUACUUAUAAUUCUGAUACCAUGAUUUACAACUUCUAUAUUCUUACUUUUGUGAGUCUUAAUAAACUUAAUCAUUUUUA